GGAGAGAUGGCAGAGUGGUCGAUUGCGGCGGUCUUGAAAACCGUUGAGGCGCAAGCCUCCGGGGGUUCGAAUCCCUCUCUCUCCGCCA
rnacentral:tRNA from 1 species